rnacentral:rRNA from 1 species
GACGAACGCUGGCGGCGUGCUUAACACAUGCAAGUCGAACGAAGUGGCGAACGGGUGAGUAACGCGUAAUAAACCUGCCCUUCAGAGGGGGACAACAGUUGGAAACGACUGCUAAUACCGCACAGUGAAGGAGGGGAUUGCGUUUGAUUAGCUCGUUGGGGGGGUAACGGCCCACCAAGGCGAUGAUCAGUAGCCGGUCUGGGAGGAGGAACGGCCACAUUGGGACUGAGGCACGGCCCAGACUCCUACCGGAGGCAGCAGUGGGGAAUCUUCCGCAAUGGACGAAAGUCUGACGGAGCAACGCCGCGUGAGUGAUGACGGCCUUCGGGUUGUAAAGCUCUGUUAAUCGGGACGCGGUACCGGAAUAGAAAGCCACGGCUAACUACGUGCCAGCAGCCGCGGUAAUAC